rnacentral:misc_RNA from 1 species
AUGAUGGUAUGCCUAUUUGCCUACAUAAGAAAAAGUAAACAACCAGUCAAGAACUUAGCAAAAUAAGAACAUAUGAUUAAUCACAAAUUUAUAAUUCCAUAAAACUCAAUAGGAAUUAAUGAUAAUGUUUACAUUUCUGCACAUGCAUAAAUGGUCUGAUGGACAAAUUUCAAAGGUAUGCACUAGCUGUAGUAUUGUAAGUAACUAAGUAUACUAGGACAUGCAAACUAGCAGAAAGGAGCUUGUUUGCAAAAUCCCUACAGCCGAUAAUUAUGCUUUAACUUUGGUUGGUUUAUCAACUACUACAUAGAGUGAAUUAGUAACUGGGGGAAAAUAGCAUUCAUUGUGCUGAAUUGAUAAAAUAUAGCUCCCUUAAG